UCAACACUACAACCAGACUGGCGGCGCC
rnacentral:sRNA from 1 species